CCUACGGGAGGCUGCAGUGAGGAAUAUUGGUCAAUGGACGAGAGUCUGAACCAGCCAAGUAGCGUGAAGGAUGACUGCCCUAUGGGUUGUAAACUUCUUUUAUAUGGGAAUAAAACGUUCCACGUGUGGGAUUUUGUAUGUACCAUAUGAAUAAGGAUCGGCUAACUCCGUGCCAGCAGCCGCGGUAAUACGGAGGAUCCGAGCGUUAUCCGGAUUUAUUGGGUUUAAAGGGAGCGUAGGUGGAUUGUUAAGUCAGUUGUGAAAGUUUGCGGCUCAACCGUAAAAUUGCAGUUGAAACUGGCAGUCUUGAGUACAGUAGAGGUGGGCGGAAUUCGUGGUGUAGCGGUGAAAUGCAUAGAUAUCGCGAAGAACUCCGAUUGCGAAGGCAGUUCACUGGACUGCAACUGACACUGAGGCACGAAAGUGUGGGUAUCAAACAGGAUUAGAUACCCUUGUAGUC
rnacentral:rRNA from 1 species